AGUAAAAGUCGUAACAAGGUCUCCGUUGGUGAACCAGCGGAGGGAUCAUUACCGAGUUUACAACUCCCAAACCCCUGUGGACAUACCUUUUGUUGCUUCGGCGGGAUCGCCCCGGCGCCCGCCGGAGGACCCAAACUCUUGUCUUCAUGAGAAUCUUCUGAGUGACAUAAGCAAAUAAAUUAAAACUUUCAACAACGGAUCUCUUGGUUCUGGCAUCGAUGAAGAACGCAGCGAAAUGCGAUAAGUAAUGUGAAUUGCAGAAUUCCGUGAAUCAUCGAAUCUUUGAACGCACAUUGCGCCCGCCAGUAUUCUGGCGGGCAUGCCUGUUCGAGCGUCAUUUCAACCCUCAAGCCCCCGGGCUUGGUGUUGGGGAUCGGCCCGCCUCGGCGCGCCGGCCCCGAAAUCUAGUGGCGGUCUCGCUGUAGCCUCCUCUGCGUAGUAGCACACCUCGCACCGGAACGCAGCCUGGCCACGCCGUAAAACCCCCCACUUCUGAAGGCUGACCUCGGAUCAGGUAGGAAUACCCGCCGAACUUAAGCAUAUCAAUAAGCGGAGGAAAAGAAACCAACAGGGAUUGCCCCAGUAACG
rnacentral:rRNA from 1 species